UACGUAGGGGGCAAGCGUUGUCCGGAAUUAUUGGGCGUAAAGCGCGCGCAGGCGGCUGUUUAAGUUGGGUGUUUAACUCCAGGGCUCAACCCUGGGUCGCAUCCGAAACUGGACGGCUUGAGUGUAGGAGAGGAAAGUGGAAUUCCACGUGUAGCGGUGAAAUGCGUAGAGAUGUGGAGGAACACCAGUGGCGAAGGCGACUUUCUGGCCUAUAACUGACGCUGAGGCGCGAAAGCGUGGGGAGCAAACAGG
rnacentral:rRNA from 1 species